rnacentral:lncRNA from 1 species
AUCAUGAAAAGACCUUAUUUAAUUCUCACUGCAAAGUAGAGGCGCUAUUGAGCAGUAUUAAGCAGUGCUGUGGCUGUGAGCCUGAAGAAUUUUAGGGUAACCAACCUCUCCCCUUCUCACGAGUAUCCUAACUGGACUGGAGUGGGGAGGUUCCUCCAUACUUCAACGGCAGGAGCAACAAGCCAAGCCAGAGAAAAACUGGAGAAACAGCAGGGGGUGUUUGAGAUGAUUGAACUGGCAGACGAGAGUGGUCAGUUGAAAAACCUUCUCCAGUACCCUCAACUCUAUGCAUCUGAACUGCUGAAGCCCCGAGAAACCUAUAUCCCUUUCUCUGUAAAACGACCUGAAGGUUCAUCAGAGCCAGUCUUUGUGGCUCUACUAAAAGAUGAAGUUAUUGACUCUAAAUUACUAGCUACCCUGAGGCUUGCAAGAAACUCCAACUCCACAGUGUCUGAGAAGCAACCAAAACCUGGGAAGACCAAGAGAAAAACUGUGACUUCUGAAGCUCGGAGCCAAAAGGUGAGUAUCUAACUGAAGGUCCCAGAUGGCCUUUCACUUUUCCUGCCACUAACACAUGUCAAAUCUGUCUUUGCUUCUGUUUCAGGCAAACUGAGAACCUUCCCAUGGAGCAACAGGAGGCAGGAUGGGACCUAGGGAUAUGUGCUGGAUUCAGAGUUGGGGGACAUGGGUUUGAAUCCUGGCCCUGCCACAGAUGACCUUUGUGACUUUGAACAAGUCCCUUUACCCCCUCUGGGGCUCAGUUUCCUCAUCUAUAAAAUGAAGGGGAUGGAUAAAAGAUCUCUAAGAUCCCAUCAGGCUUUAAUUCUAUGAAAUUAGAGCAGAAUCAUAUCCAUAUCAUGUCCUUUAUAUGGGAUGGGAGGACACUGUGAAAGGGCAUUAUGGCAAAAUAUCUGCUUUAGCUGCUAGUAAAACAUUUCCACAAUCUGUAAUAAAUAUCAUAUGCAUACACUACUGAGCUAGAAA